rnacentral:rRNA from 1 species
UACGGAGGGUGCUAGCGUUGUUCGGAAUCACUGGGCGUAAAGGGCGUGUAGGCGGUCUGUUAAGUCUGAUGUGAAAUCCCCUCGCUCAACGAGGGAACUGCGUCGGAUACUGGCAGACUCGAGUACCGGAGAGGAAGGUGGAAUUCCGGGUGUAGCGGUGGAAUGCGUAGAGAUCCGGAAGAACACCGGUGGCGAAGGCGGCCCGCUGGGCAGGAAGGCUCGCAAGAGCCGGCUGACGCUGAGGCGCGACAGCGUGGGGAGCAAACAGG